UCUGGUUGAUCCUGCCAGUAGCCAUAUGCUUGUCUAGAGGAUUAAGCCAUGCAUGUGUAAGUAUUAAUAGAUUUUAAUAGUGAAACUGCGAAUGGCUCAAUAAAACAGUUAUAGUUUAUUCGAUGAUGUUUUGUUAUUUGGAUAACCGUAGUAAUUCUAGGGCUAAUACAUGAACUAAAGAGGAGCAACUUAGAAGUGUUUCUCUGUAUUUAUUAGACUGAAAACUGGUACAGUAGCAAUACUGGCCCCUGGUUGAACCAUGAUAACUCUUACGAAUCGUAUGACCUUGCGUCGACGAUGAAUCGUUCAAGUUUCUGACCUAUCAAUUCAAGAAGGUAGUGUAUUGGACCACCUUGAUUGUAACGGGUACGGAGAAUUAGGGUUCGAUUCCGGAGAGGGAGCCUGAGAAACGGCUACCACUUCCAAGGAAGGCAGCAGGCGCGCAAAUUACCCAAUCUCAAUACGAGGAGGUAGUGAAUAAAAAUAACAAUCCAGAGCUUGAUAAAAGUUUUGGAAUUGGAAUGAGAACAAUGUAAAUACCUUAACGAGGAACAAUUGGAGGGCAAGUCUGGUGCCAGCAGCCGCGGUAAUUCCAGCUCCAAUAGCGUAUGCUAAAGUUGUUGCAGUCAAAAGCUCGUAGUCGGAUUUUUCGUUGUUCACUUUGAAGGGCGUCUUUUCCAGCGGGUAACACCUGUUGGGGGCGCUCAGUGGACAAUAUCAUCAUUUGGUAAACUUCUGGCUGUCCAUUCAUUUGGGCAGUCAUAAAAGGGGUCGGUCGUCAAAAAGCCGGUCUCGGAGUUACCAAUCUUUUACUGUGAAGAAACUUGAGUGUUCGAAGCAAGCAUUCUCUGCCUGAAAAAUUCAGCAUGGGAUAAUGAAAUAGGCUUACGCGUCUAUUUUCGCCGGUUUUCGGACUUUUGCGUGAGAAUGGUCGAUAGGGGCGGUCGGGUACACUCGUACCCAGCGGUCAGAGGUGAAAUUCUUGGAUUCGCGGGAGACGAACUUAUGCGAAAGCGUUUGUCAAGGACGCUUUCUUUGAUCAAGAACGAAAGUUAGGGGAUCGAAGACGAUCAGAUACCGUCGUAGUCUUAACCUUAAACGAUGCCGACUGUAGAUUAGAAGACGUUAAACGAUGGCGGGGGAAACUCCGCCUCAAUGACUCCUCUAGCAUACUGUGAGAAAUCACAAGCGUUUGGGUUCCGGGGGGAGUAUGGUCU
rnacentral:rRNA from 1 species